CCGAGUUUACAAACUCCCAACCCUAUGUGAACCUUACCUAUCGUUGCUCCGGCGGGCUUUAGCCCCCGCGCCGCUCGCCGGCGCCGGGAAACAGGCGCCCGCCGGAGACCCAAACUCAAUGUUUUUCAUGCAGUAUUAUCUGAGUGGCAAAACGCAAAAAAUAAAUCA
rnacentral:misc_RNA from 1 species